GGGAGGGCCAGCCGAUCGGCGACGGCGCCCGAUUCGAGAUCGGGUGAGCGAUGAGCCCUGGGGGUUCGAAUCGCUCCCCUUCCG
rnacentral:tRNA from 1 species